CCUACGGGUGGCAGCAGUAGGGAAUCUUCCGCAAUGGGCGAAAGCCUGAUGGAGCAACGCCGCGUGAGUGAUGAAGGUUUUCGGCUCGUAAAACUCUGUUGUUGGAGAAGAACGUACGUGUAAGUAACUAUUCACGCCUUGACGGUAUCUAACCAGAAAGUCACGGCUAACUACGUGCCAGCAGCCGCGGUAAUACGUAGGUGGCAAGCGUUAUCCGGAUUUAUUGGGCGUAAAGCGCGCGUAGGCGGUUGUUUAGGUCUGAUGUGAAAGCCUACGGCUUAACCGUAGAAGUGCAUCGGAAACCGGACAACUUGAGUGCAGAAGAGGACAGUGGAACUCCAUGUGUAGCGGUGGAAUGCGCAGAUAUAUGGAAGAACACCAGUGGCGAAGGCGACUGUCUGGUCUGCAACUGACGCUGAUGCGCGAAAGCAUGGGUAUCGAACAGGAUUAGAUACCCUGGUAGUG
rnacentral:rRNA from 1 species